rnacentral:rRNA from 1 species
CGUGUAGGCGGUCUGUUAAGUCUGGUGUGGAAGCCCUGGGCUCAACCCAGGAAGUGCAUUGGAUACUGGCAGACUUGAGUAUGGGAGAGGAAAGCGGAAUUCCGAGUGUAGGAGUGAAAUCCGUAGAUAUUCGGAGGAACACCAGUGGCGAAGGCGGCUUUCUGGACCAAUACUGACGCUGAGACGCGAAAGCGUGGGGAGCAAACAGGAUUAGAUACCCUGGUAGUCC